rnacentral:rRNA from 1 species
GAUGAACGCUGGCGGCGUGCCUAAUACAUGCAAGUUGAGCGAACAGAUAAGGAGCUUGCUCCUUUGACGUUAGCGGCGGACGGGUGAGUAACACGUGGGUAACCUACCUAUAAGACUGGAAUAACUCCGGGAAACCGGGGCUAAUGCCGGAUAACAUUUAGAACCGCAUGGUUCUAAAGUGAAAGAUGGUUUUGCUAUCACUUAUAGAUGGACCCGCGCCGUAUUAGCUAGUUGGUAAGGUAACGGCUUACCAAGGCAACGAUACGUAGCCGACCUGAGAGGGUGAUCGGCCACACUGGAACUGAGACACGGUCCAGACUCCUACGGGAGGCAGCAGUAGGGAAUCUUCCGCAAUGGGCGAAAGCCUGACGGAGCAACGCCGCGUGAGUGAUGAAGGUCUUCGGAUCGUAAAACUCUGUUAUUAGGGAAGAACAAAUGUGUAAGUAACUGUGCACGUCUUGACGGUACCUAAUCAGAAAGCCACGGCUAACUACGUG